AGCAUGGAUACCAACCAGGAAUUUGGAUUCCAUGCCUCAAAUCAGUACAUGAAACAGUUCAGCAGUCCGUUCACUGUCUCCGCUUUGUUUGAGCUUCUUCAGAUUAGAUGAUGGCAUUGUGGAUGCUGAUGCAGCAGUCUCUCCCUCUUCGAUUCUACACCCCACAGUCCUGCUUAUUUCAGUAACACCAUGCCCAUGGCUAACCUAUUUUGGAACGUAACACGUGGCAAUCACAAAUGUGAGCAAACAAGAAGUACACACAAGCAUUAGUACAGUCAUGGUUAACAAGGGUCUUGCAUUGCCUCUUCUCAAAACCUGUAUACAUAGAUACAGAGAAUCCAAAGAUGACAAGGAUGGGAUUAUCCACUGAGUCUGAAUACGAUGUUCUUACCUGUGGGCGCUGGAACCUUCCCACGUACAAAAAUUCAAUGGUGCUUUGAGAAUGGGAAGUACAUGUCGUGUUGGUGGCAGAUCAACUAAGACUGGUUUUCAUGAGUAGUGAAGGGUCUUUACCGGAUCUUUGCUUUCUCUUUUUCCCUGUAACAAGGAGAAGGGUUCGUCAGGAGCUAUUGGAAAAGAGCAGAUAUUUUGUAUAGUGUCAAGACCAAUGUCUUGGGCUUUGAUGGUAGUCCUCUUUGAAAUAAAUCCUUCUGUCCUCCCACAGUGCAUACGUUUGCCUCAAUUGUCUGAUAUUUUCUCCCCUUCUGAUGGGCGUACAUUCUAUGCUUUCCCGGAUGGAGUCUAGUUCUAUCGCGAUUUAUUUUUACCACAGUGAUUGGGUAUCAGGUAUAGAUCAAAGUACCGUGUAGCAUUAGGACAAAUCUGAGGCUUUCUUGUUGAUAUGGUUAUAGGCGACACCAAUUGAAUUUCCUUUUCAGAUUCUUUAUUGUUCUUCAGAUUUCAACUGCUGACGGUACUUGGGAAACAAAGAAUAAUACAAGUGCCAAGUGUUUUUUUACUCACUGCUCCUAACGGUGCACUCCUCACCGUGAGGAGGUGAGGCACUGGAACAGGUUGCCUAGAGAUGUGGCUGGUGCUCCGUCCCUGGGGACUUUCUAGGCUAGGCUGGAUAAGGCCCUGGGCAACCUGAUCUAGCUGUGGUGUCCCAGUUCACUUCACAGGAGCUGGACUCGAUGGCUUGCACAGGUCCCUUCCAACUCUAAAGAUUCCAUGAUUCCAUGAUUCUGAGGCUGUGGAGACCAGGUGGGUGUGAACCACUGUACCUAGAGGUGAGGGAUCAACCCUGUGCUCCGGGGAUGCCGACACACCUCAACCAUCUCGUCUCCUCUUUCAGUCCCCAUUCAACUCCAAUGUCCCCAUUGGAGCACAAUGUGCCCAUCACUCCCCACUGUCCCUAUCUCUCCAAUCAGUCCCCUGGAAGCCAUGGUCAACACAGGGACAACAGUGAAAAAGGCUUGUGAAAAAGAGGGUGGGAAUGGGACCCUGGGGACCUCCUUGUGCAGGGCAGCAUUACCUGUGUGAUCAACCAUGGAAAAAAGGGAUUACCUUGGGAUUGGAGAAGGAAGCACUCCCUCAUGGGAACAUCCAUGACAGCCCCUGGACACGUACAUGAUGAGGUGUUGCCACGGGGUUGGAGUGAACACAUUGCUCAGUGCAAGGAGGCAUCAUUCAAGUGAAUAUCAAUCCUGGGCCCAUCCCAGCAAGCAAACACCCCAAACCCAUUUCCCAUUCCCACACAGAGAGCAGCACAUUGCCAGGCAGCAUUUGGAAGGCACCGGCUGUGGAGGAAUCCAGUGUGAGUGCUGGGCAACCCAUAUCCACAGGGAUCUUCUCGCCAUGAGCUCCUGGUAGCAACCCUGCUCAUUCCUUCGUACAUGCUGAAUCCAUUCAUCAAGGGAAAAUUUCUCCACAGUGCUUGCAACCCACGACUCAUGAUGAAAAAUCCCACUUGAAUGGGGAUGGGGGGAACUCCACCUUCAACCAUUCAUGGCUGGACAAAAUGAUCUGUGGCCCUUCUCAAAUGGAACACAAACAAUGAGCACCUAACUUAUGGCAGUACUGUGUCGGCUUCUUUAAUUCUGUGCUUAUACUGUUUGUUUGUUUGUUUGUUUCUUUUGCUGGUUUUUACAAUUCUAUAAGUGAUUCCAUGCCCUUUAAUGUCCCUUCCAACCCAAGCACCUCUAUUUUAUGGCUCUUUGGCAGGCUGGAGAUGAACAGGAGCUUGGGAGGGGACAGAGACAAGAUAGCUGACAAAAAGAGAUAAAACGGACGCUGCAUACAGAAUGAGGUCACACUCAGUAAGAAGAGGUGGGGAAAAGAGGGAAAAGGGAGAAGUUUCCUCCCCCCAAGAGACAGGAAGCACAGCCCCUGCUAAGGGCUCUGUGUGUCCUGAAAGAAAAGCAGGGGCUCUGCAGAUGCGAGAAAUGCAUCAUGGGCUGCAUCACAGCCUCUCGCUGUGAGUAACUCUCUGUCAGCUGCAGAAACACACAGCACGUGUCCUAGGCUCGCAACACAAGCCUGUGACCAUCUGCACCCAGCUCACAGCAAAGCAGGAACCGUGAGGAGAGAUCUCCAAAAGAUGUGCGGGCAGGUGGGAUGGGCCAUGCCGUGUCCCCAUGUCCAUGUCCUCCUGCUGCUGGUGUUUGGUGAGUUGGGGCUGCUUUGGGUAGCAGGGAACCCUGCUUGGAGGAAGAAGCCCAGCACAAAGAGGCUUGAGAUGGUGCCGAGGGUGGAGGUAGAGUACGUGUGGGAUGGAGUCUUGCACCCAAAGCAUGAUUUUGGAAGUAGAGGAGACUGCAUCUGGAAAAGAAAACUUAUCCCAAAUGGAUUUAGGCUUGCUCAAAUGGAGACAGUGGUGAUACAGGAAGGGGAUACACUUGUGGAGUGGUGACUGCUGAAGACUGGAGACAUGGACAGAAACAUGUGGGUGUGCAGGACACUGUCCCUCUAACCAAACCCCUCUCUGCUCCACGGUGCAGGUACUGCUGUGAGCACCCAGGGCAUCUGCAGUUCCACAGCUGAUGGUGAGUGUGAGAAUGGGUCCAGAAAAUGAAGACAUGGUGGGGGAGGAGAUGGGGAGAGAGAAAGGCUUUAUUGCCUCUGAAUUCCCAAUAUCCACCCCAAGAGGGCAGAUUCUCCAUGACUUGGAAUGCAGUGUGUUUUGCAGCUAAUGAUGCUGGUGGAAUCCC
ensembl:lncRNA